rnacentral:rRNA from 1 species
AAAGCCGUCCGGUGGAUGGCUCGGCUCGGGCGCCGAAGAAGGGCGUGGCAAGCUGCGAUAAGCCCGGGGGAGCCGCAGGCAGGCUUAGAACCCGGGAUCCCCGAAUGGGGCUUCCUGCCGGGGCCGAACAGGCCCCGGCGCCCCGUAAGGGGCGGGA